UACGAAGGGGGCUAGCGUUGCUCGGAAUCACUGGGCGUAAAGGGCGCGUAGGCGGCCAUUCAAGUCGGGGGUGAAAGCCUGUGGCUCAACCACAGAAUUGCCUUCGAUACUGUUUGGCUUGAGUCUGGUAGAGGUUGGUAGAACUGCGAGUGUAGAGGUGAAAUUCGUAGAUAUUCGCAAGAACACCGGUGGCGAAGGCGGCCAACUGGACCAGUACUGACGCUGAGGCGCGAAGGCGUGGGGAGCGAACGGG
rnacentral:rRNA from 1 species